rnacentral:rRNA from 1 species
GAUCAUGGCUCAGGAUGAACGCUAGCUACAGGCUUAACACAUGCAAGGUCGAGGGGCAUCGAGAGGAAGCUUGCUUCCUGUCGGCGACCGGCGCACGGGUGAGUAACGCGUAUCCAACCUUCCCUUAGUAGGGCAUAGCCCGGCGAAAGUCGGAUUAAUACCCUAUGUUUUUCCGAUGAGGACAUCUGAGCUGGAAUAAAGAUUUAUCGCUAAGGGAUGGGGAUGCGUCUGAUUAGGUAGUCGGCGGGGUAACGGCCCACCGAGCCAACGAUCAGUAGGGGUUCUGAGAGGAAGGUCCCCCACAUUGGUACUGAGACACGGACCAAACUCCUACGGGAGGCAGCAGUGAGGAAUAUUGGUCAAUGGGCGAGAGCCUGAACCAGCCAAAAGUAGCGUGCAGGAUGACGGCCCUAUGGGUUGUAAACUGCUUUUAUCGGGGGAUAAAGUGAGGGACGCGUCCCUUUUUGUAGGUACCCGAUGAAUAAGGACCGGCUAAUUCCGUGCCAGCAGCGGC